rnacentral:lncRNA from 1 species
CUCUGCUUAACCCUCCUGUGCCAGGCUCACGAACAGGACACAGACAGCUUCUUGGAACCUUAGGCAUGGUGGAACCUUGGGCACGGGCUGCUAGAAAAUGGAACUGACCAGGAGACGCCUGCCACACACGGCCUUUGUCUUUCUGAGAGAACUGAUGGGAGGCCGCACCAGCUACUCAGGAAGCUGAGGAUGGAACCUGGGACCUUUCCCUUCAUGGGCUGGGCAAGUUCCUUCCUCAGCUUCUGGGAUUUUCUCCAGACAGCAAAGCCCCAGGUGAAGAGAGAACUCGCUGGGGCUCCCUGUACCUCCCUGAGAUUUAUGGUGCGUCUGUGAUAAAAGGCCACCCCGGCCAGGCACCUCACCUGUGUGGGUGUUCACAUGGUUCCUAAGAAGAGUGACGGUCCGGAAGGCCUUCAGGCACAGGUGACACAGGUGUGGCCUCUCAUUGCUGUGAAUUUUGAUGUGACGAUUGAAAGUUGAGAGCUUGGAAGAAGUGAACGGGCAGGUGUCGCACUGAAAGGUCUGAGGUUUUCCUGUAGAGAGAAGACACACACCAGUGUAGCUGCAAAGAUCGUCCCUUGAGCAGUCCCUCAGAGGCCGACGUGACUUCCUUAGCCUAGUACUGGUGAGGAUUAUGAGAUGUCUCAAAACCUCAGGACACUCUGUUUUUGAUGAAGAACAUCUUGUUAAGAAGUACCCAGCUUCUGUUUCCUGCCACAGGGCUGUCCAGGUCCCUAACCCACCCUCCCUGUUGUUAACAAUAGACAACAGUGUGCUCCCCUCAACUCCCAACGCCGGUAACUGCAGUUCCAGGGAAUCUGAUGCCCUCUUCUGGCCACUAUGGGAACUGCACACAGGUGGUGCACAGAAAUACAUUCUUUUGUUUGUUUGUUUGUUUGUUUUUGUUUUUUUUUUCGAGACAGCCAAAGCUACAGAGAGAAACCCUGUCUUGAAAUCAUGAAACAAACAAACAAAACAACCAGUCUUAAUAAACUGUCAUUUACAGUGUGGUAUAGAUCAAGGAGGUCAGAAGACAAAGUCUUCUCCAAGCAGGGAGUCCCAGAAACAAGUCUCCCAUAAACAUGGACCCAAGUGGGUACCCAAGUUCUCUGUUGGGUAAAAUGAAGCUCCCCCCACCCCGUAGCCCCCAAUGCCUUCCCAGAAUCCUCCACCCAAGCCAGGAGAGCUCUGGGAAACUGGCAUGAAGCUGAACAAAGCCACAGCCCACAGCCACAAGUGACUAUUUAAAUUUGUAUC